UACGUAGGCAGCGAGCGUUGUUCGGAGUUACUGGGCGUAAAGGGUGUGUAGGCGGUUGUUUAAGUUUGGUGUGAAAUCUCCCGGCUCAACUGGGAGGGUGCGCCGAAUACUGAAUGACUUCGAGUGCGGGAGAGGAAAGUGGAAUUCCUGGUGUAGCGGUGAAAUGCGUAGAUAUCAGGAGGAACACCGGUGGUGUAGACGGCUUCUGGACCGUAACUGACGCUGAGACACGAAAGCUAGGGGAGCAAACAGG
rnacentral:rRNA from 1 species